CCGUCGUAGUCCUAACCAUAAACGCGGCCUGGUAGGGAGUGGAGGACGUCAUUUUUCGAGUCCGUUUUCAAUCCCCUAAAAUUCAAAGGGUCUCGGUGGUGGAAACGGUAUGGUCGCAAGGCUGAA
rnacentral:rRNA from 1 species